rnacentral:rRNA from 1 species
GUCUACGGCCAUACCACCCUGAACGCGCCCCAUCUCGUCUGAUCUUGGAAGCUAAGCAGGGUCAGGCCUGGUUAGUACUUGGAUGGGAGGAAAGGAACGUGGUAGUUUUUAUCC